rnacentral:rRNA from 1 species
AGUGAACGCUGGCGGCGUGCUUAACACAUGCAAGUCGAACGAGAACGGGUUAUAGCUUGCUAUAAUUGUCAGCUAAGUGGCGCACGGGUGAGUAAUGUAUAGGUAAUAUGCCUCUUACUAAGGGAUAACAAAUGGAAACGUUUGCUAAUACCUUAUACUCCUUAUUAACAGAAGUUAAUAAGGGAAAGAUUUAUUGGUAAGAGAUUAGCCUGUAUUGUAUCAGUUAGUUGGUGAGGUAAUGGCUUACCAAGACUAUGAAACAUAACUGGUUUGAGAGGAUGAUCAGUCACACUGAAACUGAGACACGGUCCAGACUCCUACGGGAGGCAGCAGUGGGGAAUAUUGCACAAUGGACGAAAGUCUGAUGCAGCAACGCCGCGUGGAGGAUGACACAUUUCGGUGCGUAAACUCCUUUUAUAUGAGAAGAUAAUGACGGUAUUAUAUGAAUAAGCACCGGCUAACUCCGUGCCAGCAGCCGCCGUAA